CUAAGCGUAGAAUCAACUAUGCGGACGGGUCAUGUCUAUUACCCUUGUUUAUUGAGCACCUAGUUUCCUUGGUAGGCUUGCCUGCCAAAAGGACACCCUUUUAACCCUUUUUAUUUUCAAUCAGCGUCUGAAUAAAAAUAAUAAUUACAACUUUCAACAACGGAUCUCUUGGUUCUGGCAUCGAUGAAGAACGCAGCGAAAUGCGAUAAGUAGUGUGAAUUGCAGAAUUCAGUGAAUCAUCGAAUCUUUGAACGCACAUUGCGCCCCUUGGUAUUCCAUGGGGCAUGCCUGUUCGAGCGUCAUUUGUACCUUCAAGCUAUGCUUGGUGUUGGGUGUUUGUCCUCUCUCUGCGUUUGGACUCGCCUUAAAGCGAUUGGCAGCCUAUAUUUGGUUUUGAGCGCAGCACAUUUUGCGUCUUACUACUUAUUCUAUAGGCACCCAUUAAGCCUUUUAUCACGUUUGACCUCGGAUCAGGUAGGGAUACCCGCUGAACUUAAGCAUAUCAAUAAGCGGAGGAAAAGAAACCAACAGGGAUUGCCCUAGUAACGGCGAGUGAAGCGGCAACAGCUCAAAUUUGAAAUCUGGCUCUUUCAGAGUCCGAGUUGUAAUUUGCAGAGGGCGCUUUGGCGUUGGCAGCGGUCCAAGUUCUUUGGAACAGGACGUCACAGAGGGUGAGAAUCCCGUACGUGGUCGCUAGACUUCGCCGUGUAAAGCCCCUUCGACGAGUCGAGUUGUUUGGGAAUGCAGCUCUAAAUGGGAGGUAAAUUUCUUCUAAAGCUAAAUACUGGCCAGAGACCGAUAGCGCACAAGUAGAGUGAUCGAAAGAUGAAAAGCACUUUGGAAA
rnacentral:rRNA from 1 species